rnacentral:snoRNA from 1 species
AUCCCAUGAUGAGGACAGGUGGCAACGUACUCCUAUAGCCUUUCCCACGCUUCCGGGAUCGUCUCAUCUUUCGUCGGCUGGAAGCUGGAUAUUACUCCACGAAGGGU